AUUGAACGCUGGCGGCAGGCCUAACACAUGCAAGUCGAGCGGAUGAAGGGAGCUUGCUCCUGGAUUCAGCGGCGGACGGGUGAGUAAUGCCUAGGAAUCUGCCUGGUAGUGGGGGAUAACGUCCGGAAACGGGCGCUAAUACCGCAUACGUCCUGAGGGAGAAAGUGGGGGAUCUUCGGACCUCACGCUAUCAGAUGAGCCUAGGUCGGAUUAGCUAGUCGGUGGGGUAAAGGCCUACCAAGGCGACGAUCCGUAACUGGUCUGAGAGGAUGAUCAGUCACACUGGAACUGAGACACGGUCCAGACUCCUACGGGAGGCGGCAGUGGGGAAUAUUGGACAAUGGGCGAAAGCCUGAUCCAGCCAUGCCGCGUGUGUGAAGAAGGUCUUCGGAUUGUAAAGCACUUUAAGUUGGGAGGAAGGGCAGUAAGUUAAUACCUUGCUGUUUUGACGUUACCAACAGAAUAAGCACCGGCUAACUUCGUG
rnacentral:rRNA from 1 species